GUGCGCCUCCUGAAUGUCAAAACGACUCUCGGCAACGGAUAUCUCGGCUCUCGCAUCGAUGAAGAACGUAGCGAAAUGCGAUACUUGGUGUGAAUUGCAGAAUCCCGUGAACCAUCGAGUCUUUGAACGCAAGUUGCGCCCGAAGCCUUCGGGCCGAGGGCACGCCUGCCUGGGCGUCA
rnacentral:rRNA from 1 species